rnacentral:ncRNA from 2 species
UACGUAGGGUGCGAGCGUUAAUCGGAAUUACUGGGCGUAAAGCGUGCGCAGGCGGUUUUGUAAGUCAGAUGUGAAAUCCCCGGGCUCAACCUGGGAACUGCGUUUGAAACUACAAGGCUAGAGUGUAGCAGAGGGGGGUAGAAUUCCACGUGUAGCAGUGAAAUGCGUAGAGAUGUGGAGGAAUACCAAUGGCGAAGGCAGCCCCCUGGGUUAACACUGACGCUCAUGCACGAAAGCGUGGGGAGCAAACAGG